UACGUAGGGUGCAAGCGUUGUCCGGAAUUAUUGGGCGUAAAGAGCUCGUAGGCGGUUUGUUGCGUCGGCCGUGAAAACCUGCAGCUUAACUGUGGGCCUGCGGCCGAUACGGGCAGACUUGAGUUCGGUAGGGGAGACUGGAAUUCCUGGUGUAGCGGUGAAAUGCGCAGAUAUCAGGAGGAACACCGGUGGCGAAGGCGGGUCUCUGGGCCGAUACUGACGCUGAGGGGCGAAAGCGUGGGGAGCGAACAGG
rnacentral:rRNA from 1 species